UAUCCCGAUCACCUUUUAACCAUGACAGACUGGCAGCAGAGUUGGGGGCGCAGUGCACAGGGAGCCGCUUGAGAGUGGGGUGUUCACCUGAUGGCUUAUCAUCCUCGAGUACCUUCAGGUGUAGCUCUAAAGUCUAGGACUUUCUCCUCGAUGGCAGCUGGGAAAUUACCGCAGACACGUUGCUACUGUCCGAGCCUCAGACCCCAUUGAGGUUUCCCCCGUCGUACCACAGUCCCUGUUAUAGCAGACAGUCUAGUUUUGGAUCACAGUUUGGAUCUAAUUGUCACGUCUCUUUGGUCUCCUUCAUUCUGGGACAAUUUCUCAGUCUUUUCUUGACUUCCACGACCUUGACAUUUGAAAAUGAUUAUAGAUCAGUUGUUGUUGUUUUGUAGAAUGUCUCUGCAUUUGGGUUUGUCUGCUGUUUUCCCAGGAUUAGAUUCAGGUCGUGCGUCUUUUGCAGGAGUGAUGCUAUGUUCUCCUCCCUGCAUCCUCGUGGGCGCACGAUUUAGUUUGUCCCAUUGCUGGUAACGUCGCUUUGAUCACUUGGCCGAGGUGGUGACUCCUCGACUUCAGUGUGAAGUCACUCCUUUUCCUUAUAAUUAAUAAGUGUUUUAGGGGAAGUGCUUUGAAACUCUGUACCUAUCCCAUUCCUUACCAGAUUUUCAGUUUUUUGUUUCCCAUUUGAUUUAGUGAAUUAUACUCUUACUGUAAUUGUUUAUUUUGAUAUUAAAAUUCUCUAGAUUUGGCCACUCGGGGCCCAUUCAGGCUGGCUGUUAUGUCCUUUUUUCUGUGCUGCCAUCAUUUUUGGGGCACUUGUGCUUUUGAGCACAACAAGCUGUCCAGAUUCAUUUUGUAAUCCCCUCACACAGCCGUGGAAUCGGCCAUUUCUCUGCGAGCCUGGUACUCUUUAGUGGAGAAUGGUAUUUAGAAGCCAAGGUGUAGUCUCUGGAUAUGCCCGUUGUUAAUUGAGGAGUUGUGUUCCCCAGUCUGUCACUGGACAGCUCUAGGGCGCGCACGCACACACACACACACACACACACACACCCCUUUAUUUCUGGGCCUGUGCGUACAUACUGAAAACUGUGAGUUCGCAUCCAAUUCCAAUCCAACACCACAGAAUUCAGUCGCAGUUCCUCCAUUUCUGUUUUUGUAACGUUUUCCUUUGAUGGUGAGAAACUCGGCUCCUGUUGUUGUGGUAUUUUUACUUAUUUUCAGUCCUCUCGCCUGUAACCGACCUUCCCGUCAGUGUCUCAUUUUUGCCACCCCCACAUCCCCCUGUGCGGAGCCCUGAGUUCCCCAUGCCAGGUGGGCCCCUGGUGUGGGUGCCCUCCUCACCCUGCCUGGGCCGCUCCCCUACGUAGAUGCUCUGCCCACCUUGCUUCAGCUCUGGCUUUGCCCAGGCCAUUUUUGGUCUUCUCCUCCUUCUGGGUCCAUCCCUGCACAUGCACUUAAGGCUUUAGGACUGAAUUAUUCAGGAAGGGAAGCAGAGGGGCAGGAGAGAGAAAGAGCCAUCAUCGCUUUUUAAAAUCUCUAUGAUUUUUUUUUUUUUUUAGAUUUUACAAUAAAAAUAACUAUUUGCUCUAAAUGAGGAUGAACUGAUCUAUUAAAGGUAGAAGAGGAACUUUAGCUUCUUAAUUUUGAGGAAAGGGUUUGUGGGUUGUUUUUGUUUUUGUUUUUGUUUUUCUAAAUUUGCCUCAGGAAUUUUGGCUGUAAGGUUACUGUAUGUCCCAUAGUAGUUGUGACACAUAAAGAGGAAUUUGGCUGUGAAAUGGAUUUUCAUAAACUUUAGCCUGAAAAAACCACGCAUGUUUAACCUAAUGUGUGAAAAUCUAAUCAGUCAAGUUGUUGAUUAACCGUCCACCUGUGAUCUUUUCUACUCUUUUGUGGCUCCUGUAGCUGCCACUAGCAAUCUGUUUCUUUGUCCUUCAGCCGUGACCUUUAUGACCUCUAUAUGUAAAAUUGAAGAUAGAAACCAUUCUGCAGUGGCAUUACCUAUUCUUUUGAGCUUUUUCUUUUCCUUUAUUUUAUAAUUAUUUUUUUUAAUCAUUU